rnacentral:rRNA from 1 species
GAUGAACGCUAGCGGCAGGCUUAACACAUGCAAGUCGAGGGGCAGCGCGGGGUAGCAAUACCCUGGCGGCGACCGGCGAAAGGGUGAGUAACGCGUGAGCAACGUGCCCGUAUGUGGGGGAUAGUCGAUGGAAACGUCGCGUAAUACCCCGUAAUACAUUCUCCCGCAUGAGAGGAUGUUGAAAGAUUUAUUGCAUACGGAUCGGCUCGCGUGCCAUUAGCUAGUUGGCGGGGUAACGGCCCACCAAGGCGACGAUGGCUAGGGGUUCUGAGAGGAAGGUCCCCCACAUUGGAACUGAGACACGGUCCAGACUCCUACGGGAGGCAGCAGUGAGGAAUAUUGGACAAUGGCCGGAAGGCUGAUCCAGCCAUGCCGCGUGCGGGAAGACGGCCCUAUGGGUUGUAAACCGCUUUUGUUGGGGAGCAAUAAGGAGCACGUGUGCUUCGAUGAGAGUACCCAGCGAAUAAGCAUCGGCUAACUCCGUGCCAGCAGCCGCGGUAAUACGGAGGAUGCGAGCGUUAUCCGGAUUUAUUGGGUUUAAAGGGUGCGUAGGCGGAUUUUUAAGCGUGAGGUGAAAUGCCCGGGCUCAACCUGGGAACUGCCUCGCGAACUGGAAGUCUGGAAUGUCCGUGCCGUGGGAGGAAUGUGUGGUGUAGCGGUGAAAUGCAUAGAGAUUACACAGAACACCGAUUGCGAAGGCAUCUCACGAAGGGUUGAUUGACGCUGAGGCACGAAAGCGUGGGGAUCAAACA